CCGCCGUUAUCAACUCCCCCAUUCUCCCCACCAACUGCUCGAACGACGGUCGCCUCCUUGGAUCGCUUCACCGCCCAAAUGAAAAACACAAUCGCAGAUGAUGGAGGAGACUCGAGGGUCCAUGUUUGGAGCAAACAGCAAAAUAACUGACCUGGAGAGGGCUGAGCUGGCUCCAGGGGACGGAUUCGGUCAUGAGCUCCCACAAAACGACGCCGAAGCUGAACACGUCUGACCUGAAAAAGACCCAUCUCUGGAACCCGUGCAAUCACCUUGAGGAAUUGGUGGUGGUGAAUCUUCCUUCUACGGUAAGAGAUUGCAAUUUGAAGAUUGUGCUUGAUGCCUGGAAAUGAAUCCAAAGGCUUUGCUUAACCAUGGUCAGUCGAAAGAUAAAGCUCAACAAGGAGCCAGGCAAAGGUGGAUAACUAGAGAUCUAUUUUUUGCGUGACAAUCAUAUAACUAAUAUAAGAGUGACAAAAAUUACAGGACAAGCUUCAGCAAAAUGUUCAAUUUGUUGACAUGAAUUUUGUGGAAUACGGUUACUGAGAUGAAUUUAGAACAAUCGGUAGAUUUGGUAGGAUUAAUUGCAUGCUGAUUUAUGUGUAUCUUUUUAUUGCAAUAUAAAGAAUUACAUCAGGAUAUUUGUUUACAUCCAUGAUCCAUUUACAGCGUUCAACAUUCUUUGCUGUUGUUUAUUUAAAUUAAUAAACAUUUAAAUGUUUAAAUCGGCUGCAAAGAUUUUGCAUUUGUGAUUUUUUUUUUGUUUCUUCGUUUUUUUUUUGUUUUUGUUGAAUAUGCUGUGUAAAUCCUCAAUGAUGUUUUAUGGGAACAAUUAUUUCCUUCUUUACUUUCGAAUAACCUCCUACAACACAACCCUUCACUUUACUACUCAGAUAUUUCCCGGUUACUGAUUUUGAGUCAAUACCUAAUAUUAGUUGUUGGUUUAAAGCCAAAUUCAUGUUAAUUUAAGGAUGAUAUGUGAUGCAUAACGUUGUCCACGAGAGUGACUUUGAUUAGCAGAUGUUGGCAAAUGGGUGGAUUAUAAUCUAUAAUUGUUGCCAAAAAGGCAAAAAGGGACAUGAGGUUGGCAGUGAAUUAUUAAACGAGGUCUAAGAUUUCGUGAAAUCAUAACGGGUAUAAUUAUCUUUUACUUAGUCAAACCUCAUAGUUUGUAAUCCACCUAAAAAUAAGCCAGGUAUUAUCUGUAAUUAGAAAAUGCUGUUUGGGUUGAAUUUGAGGGAGAUGGUCCGACAAAAGAAGGUAC